GACGAACGCUGGCGGCGUGCUUAACACAUGCAAGUCGAACGGAAGGCCCUGCUUUUGUGGGGUGCUCGAGUGGCGAACGGGUGAGUAACACGUGAGUAACCUGCCCUUGACUUUGGGAUAACUUCAGGAAACUGGGGCUAAUACCGGAUAGGAGCUCCUGCUGCAUGGUGGGGGUUGGAAAGUUUCGGCGGUUGGGGAUGGACUCGCGGCUUAUCAGCUUGUUGGUGGGGUAGUGGCUUACCAAGGCUUUGACGGGUAGCCGGCCUGAGAGGGUGGCCGGCCACAUUGGGACUGAGAUACGGCCCAGACUCCUACGGGAGGCAGCAGUGGGGAAUAUUGCACAAUGGGCGGAAGCCUGAUGCAGCAACGCCGCGUGCGGGAUGACGGCCUUCGGGUUGUAAACCGCUUUCGCCUGUGACGAAGCGUGAGUGACGGUAAUGGGUAAAGAAGCACCGGCUAACUACGUG
rnacentral:rRNA from 1 species